UUACCCCGUGUAUUUCUUUGCUGUUUUGUCUGCCCACUUUGCAGGCGUUUGGUCUCCAUUUACGCACGGAGCUACUGUAGAACCAGACAUCCAUACACACUUGUAAAACUGGUAAAAAUCUGAAUUUGUGGGUUAUUCCAAUGUCAUUUUGCUGGUUUUGAUUGUGUACUACAGUUGUUCAAGAUUUGGGUAGGACUGGGUGAAAAGUGAAUGGAAAUUUCCUGGACAUUUUUUGCAGCUUUGAAAUUAGGUAGUGCUACCCUUUCAGCUUUAUUCUUUUUCUUCAAAAUGGUUUUGGCUAUCUAAGGUCUUUGCUUUUCCAAUGUAUUUGAUUAGGUUGGCCAAAAAUUCAUUCAGGUUUUCCAUAUAUUACAGAAAAGCUGUAACAAACUUUUGGCUAAAUCAAUGGAAUACACUUGUCAUUUCUGGGGGAAAAUAAUCUUGAGAUUUUUUUUAUUAGGAUUGCAUUGAAGAUAGUGAUCAGUAUGAGAAAUUACAUCUGAGCAAUAUUGAGUUUUCCGGUCCAUGGACAUGGUUUCUUUCUCUGUUAAUUGAAGUAUUCUUUACUUUGUCUCAGCACUGUUUUAUAAUUUUCAGUGAACAAGUCUUGCAUGUAAUCUGUUAGAUUUAUACCUAAGUUUUACAUUUCACGCCGCAACGCCGCCGCCGUCGCCUCACCUGCUCGCGCCGACUGGUAAGACCCGACGGCCGGCCCAACCGCUCAGGGUCGCGCCGCCACGCAGGCAUUUGCAGCGCGAGGCCCCUUGGCUUCCGGCCGCGGGCCGCCGGCGGGUCUGCGUGGGCGGGCGGGGCGGAGCCGGGCCCCCCGGGGGGCGGCGGGAUCGCAGGCUCGGGGUGCAGAAGGGGCCUCGGGGAGCCCAGAUGCCCGUCGCUGCUCCGAGCCCCUUCGAGUUGCUUCGGCCCGGUCGGGGGCCUGGCGAGGCCCAGACCACGCAGGGACCUCCUUCUGGGCCAUCUGACCGAAACAGACGGAGCCCGGCGAGCCCUGCACGGUGCGAGCCAUUGAAGAACCGCGAAGGAGAAAGGGAGGCGCGAAUGAUUCCUUCUAAUUGACUUCAACUCUCUUUGAAGUUUUAAAGAGAAACAGAGAUGGUCCUUGCUUGCAAGAGUUCAUUCAUCGAGGGAAAGCCAACACGUCCAUGCAGACAGACAGACAUCCGCAGGAGGGGAAGCCAUGGGAACAGAGGUGUUGAAGGUCUUCAGGUCUUCAGAGAUCAUUCUAGAUGUUAAAGUAGGACUUCACCAGUGAAAGUGAAGACGCAUGGGUAGUAGUGGUGGGGAAGAAUGUUAGGCAAAGAGCACAAAAUGAACAUUGCCUAGGAAGCUGCCAAAUGAAGAACAUCUUCAGGGGUGAUGCAUUUGUGAGGAGGUAGAGUGUGGGUGUGCAGUGAAAUGCAAAUGUUAGAAAAAUGGGUUGAAGCCAGGUUGAGAGGGGCUUGGAUACACUGUGAAAGAUUUUAAUUUUUCUUGUGUGUGUGUGAAGGAGUAACUGAAUGUAAGAAGGUGGGAUGACAUGCCCACUGUUGCCUGAAGGAAGAUGUGUCUGCUGCUUGGUGAAGGAGUUCCAGCCACAUAAAAAGCUUGUACUCUGCUGUAAGUCCUGAAUAAAACUUUCUUCAUCUUAAAACAUGAGAAAUUAAAUAAAUCCAGGAAAAAGAAAAUCCCAAUAAUUUUAAAGAAUCUUUUUUUUUAACAUGACAUUAAUAUAAUCACCCUCUUCAAGUAUAUGUGCAAGAUUCAAGAGUUCAACCAAUUCAUCUUAGAAAGAAAUGGACCAUCAAGAGAAAUGAAGGGACUUGAUUAUACUACUUUGUCAGAAGUAGAAUCCCAAAUGUUGGGUUGGCCAAAAAGUUCAUUUGGGCUUUUCCACAC
rnacentral:lncRNA from 1 species